rnacentral:piRNA from 1 species
UCACAGUUCAGACGAAUCGUGUGUCAAUAAU